rnacentral:lncRNA from 12 species
GUGAGACCCUGGUUGGAUCUGGAGGGUUCAGGCCAGGAGGAGCUCAAGACUAAGUUGUUAAGAGGUGGCUGCACCCUCCAGGAUGGGACAAACCUCGAGCCAAGGUUCAGCAGACAAGCCUUCUCCGGCUUGGUGCUGAACGUGAGAGGACAGCGACGAUGCUGUGGGGCUGAGCUCAGCCAUGCCCAGCCCCGGUGUCCCGGUGAGGCUGCGAUGAGGCAGAGGUUUUUAUAAAGAAGUAGUGAGAAAUGGAAGUGAUUAUUUUAUCUUCCAAUUGAACCACGGUGGAUCAAAGCAAGAAAGUAUGUAUCUCAAAACUGAC